rnacentral:rRNA from 1 species
UACGGAUGGUGCGAGCGUUGUUCGGAAUUACUGGGCGUAAAGGGCGCGUAGGCGGCUAUAUAAGUCAGAUGUGAAAUCCCACGGCUUAACUGUGGAAGUGCACCUGAAACUGUAUGGCUUGAGUAUCGGAGGGGAAAGUGGAAUUCCCGGUGUAGAGGUGAAAUUCGUAGAGAUCGGGAGGAAUACCGGUGGCGAAGGCGACUUUCUGGACGAAUACUGACGCUGAGGCGCGAAAGCGUGGGGAGCAAACAGG